GAGAGCGGGUGGUCCCGGGGAGGGAAGGAAGCGGUCGCCGUCCCGCUGCGGUGGUGGCGGCGCAACAUGAGCCCCGUGCAGGCGGCAGCUGCUUAAAACAAGGACGGGCACAGCGAAGGCGUAGCGAGUCCCGGGCGUUUGCAGGGAAGAGGCUGUAGAGGAGGAAGAGGCUGCCAAACACACUAGGUCAACAGUGAAAAGAGAAACAAAAGUAAUCUCUGCUGCGCUUUUACUGUCUCCCAAAAUGAAGAAAGUGGAUGAGGAUUAAGCCCUGAUCUACCUCUCUGAUGUCGGAUUUCCCCAUCAGCUGUCCUGGUCCCACACCAAGCACCCUAGCUGAAAAAAAAUUACAGAUCAGAGGUGUUUAAAAGGGCCUCAGGCAUUAUUAUUUAGCCAAUCUUAGUCUAUCCAUUGCUGCUAAAUCACCUAUUUUGACAAAUAGGGAAUAUCCACUGCAGAAAUAGUCUAACUCUAUACUGACGUACGAUUUCUUUCUUUCUCCCAUUAGUGUCUUCUGUGGUGCGCAUGUGAAUUGUGAAUAUGG